UACGUAGGGGGCAAGCGUUGUCCGGAAUCAUUGGGCGUAAAGAGCGCGUAGGCGGCCCAGUAAGUCCGCUCUGAAAGUCAGGGGCUCAACCCCUGAAUGCGGGUGGAUACUGCUGGGCUAGAGUCCGGAAGAGGCGAGUGGAAUACCCAGUGUAGAGGUGAAAUUCGUAGAUAUUCGCAAGAACACCAGUGGCGAAGGCGGCUUACUGGUCCGGUUCUGACGCUGAGGCGCGAAAGCGUGGGGAGCAAACAGG
rnacentral:rRNA from 1 species